rnacentral:rRNA from 1 species
GAUGAACGCUGGCGGCGUGCCUAAUACAUGCAAGUCGAGCGAACAGAUGAGGAGCUUGCUCCUCUGACGUUAGCGGCGGACGGGUGAGUAACACGUGGAUAACCUACCUAUAAGACGGGGAUAACUUCGGGAAACCGGAGCUAAUACCGGAGAAUAUAUUGAACCGCAGGGUUCAAUAGUGAAAGACGGUUUUGCUGUCACUUAUAGAUGGAUCCGCGCCGCAUUAGCUAGUUGGUAAGGUAACGGCUUACCAAGGCAACGAUGCGUAGCCGACCGGAGGGGGUGAUCGGCCACCCUGGACCUGAGACCCGGUCCAGCCUCCUACGGGGGGCAGCAGUAGGGAAUCUUCCGCAAUGGGCGAAAGCCUGACGGAGCAACGCCGCGUGAGUGAUGAAGGUCUUCGGUUCGUAAACCUCUGUUAUUAGGGAAGAACAAAUGUGUAAGUAACUAUGCACGUCUUGCCGGUACCUAAGCAGAAAGCCCCGGCUACCUCCGU